CCUCCCUAUUUGUUCCACCGCCUCCUCACUCGUUUUCUUUCGCCCUCCUGGAAACCACCCCAUCUUUGGAAACAAAAGGUCAGUUUCUUCUCACUUUUAUAUGGAGAUCUAACAAAAUAAGGUCUUUUUGCUAAAAGAAAUGUUCUUUCUCACUUUCUUUUUCAUUUUGGGAUGUUGAAAUUUCUUUUCAUAGCUGGCGAGCGAAAAGAUUCUUGUAAAGAAUGUUUAGAUGCAAUCCCUCCUCUUAUAUCUACAUAUAUGCUUGAAAUGUUUUGCUUCCUUACGCUGGUCGUGCCUUCAUUGUGUUCAAUCCCAUUUGAUGAUCUGAAUAGAAAGAGCCCUCUGCGCCUGCGCUGUCGCCCAAUCGAAUCGCAAGCCCGCAUCGCCUACGCCAGUAUCCAUCCUUCUCCGCCACUCCUCUGCUGCGUCCUCUUGCUCCUCCUCCUCCUCCUCUUCCUUUGUCUUCUUCCUUGUUCCUCUUCUCCCCCUGCCCCAAAUGGUUCCGUGGUAUCUAUGUACCAGCGUACCGACACA
rnacentral:lncRNA from 1 species